GUCGUCUUCCUCUCUCCCAUGGAGAUCUAUCGAUUCUUCUGUCUCUAGCGCACUAAUGGAACUGUGACAGUGUUGCAGCAGGAGGUGACGAUGGCUAUGGCGGCGGGACCGCGCAAGCGUAUAAUUCCAUUACUCGUUUUCAUUUUCGUCUCCGUUUCCUGUCUAUUCCUAUUCACUUUCCCUUCAUCUAACCCUAAGCCCCAAAUACUUAAGCAAUUCCAACAAAUUCCCAGCCCUAAUUAUAAUCCUGGCCAAAACUUCACGUUCAUCAUCAAAGUCCUCACGUUCAAUCGCCUCUCCUCUCUCUCCCGCUGCCUCGAAUCCCUCGCGAAAGCUCACUACGAUGUCGGUGAUACAGUUCAUCUUCAUGUAUUCAUCGACCAUUUCGUACUAGAUUCGCGGAAUGCGUCUGCCGAGCUGGAGAAGAAGCUGAAUCUAUCUAGAAAGAUUCUCGAGUUUGUCGAUGGAUUCGAUUGGGCGUAUGGGGAGAAGUUGGUGCAUUAUCGGACUUCGAAUGCUGGCCUUCAGGCGCAGUGGCUUGAGGCGUGGUGGCCUGGAUCGGAUCAUGAGUUUGCCUUUGUGGUUGAGGAUGAUCUGGAGGUUUCGCCGCUAUAUUACAGCAGGUUUCUCAAGGCUGUCAUCACGAACUAUUACUACAACGCAUCAAAUUUCAGUCCUUCCGUUUAUGGGGCAUCGUUGCAACGGCCUAGAUUUGUGCCAGGUAAACAUGGUAAUAAAAUGCUGUUAGAAAACGUGCCUCGGGUAUUCUUAUAUCAACUAGUUGGCACAUGGGGUCAGCUUCUGUUUCCCAAACAGUGGAAAGAGUUUCGUCUCUGGUAUGACACACAUAAGACUAAAGGAAUAAAGCCCACCCUCGAGGGAAUGGUUACAACUGGAUGGUACAAAAAGUUGGGCGAGAAAAUUUGGACUCCAUGGUUUAUCAAAUUCAUUCACUCUCGUGGCUACUUCAAUAUUUACACCAAUUUUGCUCACGAGACAGCCCUGAGCAUCUCUCAUAGAGAUGCUGGUGUGAACUAUGGGAAAACUGCCGGUCCUGAUUCUUCCUUGCUAGACGAAACCUCUGUAGAUUCCCAUUUUCUGGAACUGUAUCCUUUGAGAAAUCUCAAGCGGUACGACUUCUGUUUUAAAGAAGUAUUUCCUGAUAGAAUUGCCCGGAGUUCAAAUGACCUUGAAUCUGUGCUUCAAUCCGUACAGAAUGAUAGCUCUGUUGUUUUAGUGAGUCUGUACAGAGUGCCCGAGUCCAUUGUCAGAAAUAUGCUCUGCCAUUUCGAAAGGCUGAAUAUCCGCAACUAUAUUUUAUUGGGACCGGCAUCUUCUUUUCUUCUCGAUCUUGCUCGGAGGGGGCACCCUGUAAUUGAUGCCAGCCAGUUUUCUGACGUUGCCCAGCUUGCCAAAUCAGUCAAUUUUCAAGACUCUUCUUUGGAACUGAUGAAAGAGAUCUUAGUGGGAGUAUACGCGACUAGAAAAGGUUUGGAACUUGGUUAUAAUAUAUGGUUGGUAGACGGGAACACACUUCCUGUUGCCACCGACGCGCUGUUGGAUUCCUUUGGUAACAAGAAUGAAUUUUAUAUCGGGAAGAUUUCUAGGCUUCUCUUUGUCAGGAGCUCCUCCUCGACUCUGAAAGUUUUGCCGGAGGAUUUUGCUUAUAACGUCAUUAUUCUGGUGGAUACAUUAAGAAAAGAAUCGGUUCCUGAGGACCGUAUUGUUUUCUCCGUGGUUGCAAAAUUGCUGGAGAACCAAAAUAUCAAAUUCGGCAACCUGGAUGAGAUGCAGCUUGGUUUGGAUGUUGGCAUUGCUCGUGGAAAUCAGACAUUGCCGACAAAGAACAAAUUCAUGUUUUGGCCGUCCCAGACAGAGUCGGAUGCAAUUCCGAAGCAACUUGCUAAUUUACAUUUAUGGGCUGUCGAUGGCGAUUCAUCCUGUACUGGUGUUAUAUGUCACCAGUCAUAGCCUUGAUGAACAUUUAAUAUCCGAAAGGUUGAUCAGUGGGCUCUGUCUGUCCAUCCAAUCUUCGCAUCUGAUGAUUUUUCUAUCCAGUUUCUAUGAACACGGUCGCCAGAUGGUCUUCUGCAGUUUUAUCAAGACAUGUUUGCGUUGCAGAAGCUGAUUCCAGACCAGGCCGAGAGGCUAUAUGUGAGUGAGGAUUUUACUGUAUACCGUUCGAUGCUAACAUGUUCAUUCGGUUAAGUUUUCAUGUGCCCUGAAAGCAUUUCUGGUGAAUAUGUUUCGAGCAGCCAACCCUUUUCCUUACUCCAGUUUGAUCACAGAGAUGAUUACAGGCAGCCAUAGCUUCUAACCGGCGCCUACAUUCCACAGACGCGGAUCGAAUCUCUCGCCAGCAACAAAGCUAUGAACUUCAUCGCUAACCUGCAGCCAACUGCAGCCGGGAUUCUUCUUCACCUGCCUCUGGUUCAUCAGCUUCCGAACCCUAUCCACCUCACCCCACCUCCCGGCAUCUGCAUACAUAUUCGACAGCAGCACGUAAUACCCGGGCUGCCCUGGCUUCAGCUCAAGAAGGCGCUCGGCUGCCCAGCAGCCGAGCUCUAUGUUCCCGUGGACCUGGCUCGCCCCCAGCAAGGCCCCCCAGACAUUGGCGCCCGGUUCACCCGGGAUACUGGUAAUAAUCAGCACGGCUUCCUGCAGGUGACCGGACCGGCCAAGAAGAUCCACCACGCAGGCAUAAUGCAUCUCCGAGGGCUCUAUACUUCUCGCCAGCAUUUCUUCGAAGUAUGUCUUUCCCUUCUCGACUAACCCUCCGUGACUGCACGCAGACAGCACAGCUAUGUAAGAAACCGAGUCUGGCUCGAUGCUGUCCUUUUUCAUGGAUUCGAAAAGCUCGAUUGCGGCGCUAGCCUCGCCAAGCAUUCCGUAUCCCAAAAUCAUCGUGUUCCAUGAUGCCGUGUCCUUGUUCUGGAUCUGGGCGAAAACUUUUGUAGCGACAUCGACUCGUCCGCACUUGGCAUAAAAGUCGAGAAGCGAGUUGGCGACGAAGAGAUGCUUGUGGAACAGCCGUCUUAAUGCGUAUGCGUGGAUUUGCCUUCCUUCUUUGACGGCAUUUAUAUUAGCGCAUGCCGAGAGUGCUCCCAUGUACGAUACAGCGUCGAGAUUCAACCCGAGAGCCGCCAUUUCUGUAAACAAGGUAAUAGAGUUCAAACACUCGAUCGUCUGCGCGUAGCCCAUUAUGAGUGUAUUGUAAGAAACCUCGUCUCUAGGCGAGCCGUCGAAUAUUGUCCGCGCCAGAUC